CACGUAGGGCGCAAGCGUUGUCCGGAAUUAUUGGGCGUAAAGAGCUCGUAGGCGGUGUGUCACGUCGGCCGUGAAAAACCUGGGGGCUUAACUCUGGGCGUGCGGUGGGUACGGGCAGACUAGAGUGAUGUAGGGGAGACUGGAAUUCCUGGUGUAGCGGUGAAAUGCGCAGAUAUCAGGAGGAACACCGAUGGCGAAGGCAGGUCUCUGGGCAUUAACUGACGCUGAGGAGCGAAAGCAUGGGGAGCGAACAGG
rnacentral:rRNA from 1 species